rnacentral:rRNA from 1 species
ACGCUCGACACCUACGGGAGGUAGCAGUGGGGAAUAUUGCACAAUGGGGGAAACCCUGAUGCAGCGACGCCGCGUGGAGGAAGAAGGUCUUCGGAUUGUAAACUCCUGUUGUUGGGGAAAAAGAGGAUGGUACCCAACAAGGAAGUGACGGCUAACUACGUGCCAGCAGCCGCGGUAAUCUGAGCGGGCUGGCAAGGC